rnacentral:rRNA from 1 species
UACAGAGGGUGCGAGCGUUGUUCGGAAUUAUUGGGCGUAAAGCGCUUGUAGGCGGCACGUCAAGUCGCGUGGGAAAUCCCCAGGCUUAACCUGGGAAGUGCGCGCGAAACUGACGAGCUUGAGUGCCGGAGAGGGUCGCGGAAUUCCCGGUGUAGAGGUGAAAUUCGUAGAUAUUCGGAAGAACACCAGUGGCGAAGGCGACUUACUGGACACAUAUUGACGCUGAGGUGCGAAAGCGUGGGGAGCAAACAGG